GCUGCCCGGGGCAGAAAACCGCCCUGUAAGGCGAAAUAAGAAGCAAAAAUAGAUAAAAGUAUUGAGAGAAGAGACCAAGAAUGAGAGCUAUACUUAUGCAUACAGCAGCUGAAAGAGAUUGGGCACACGCCUCCAGAGCUAAGAAAUUAACAGCCAGCCCCGAGGGAAAACCCCGAGUGGAACGUCAUCUCUUCCCCCAGAGAUCUGAUGUCCCGGCUGUAUCAAGGACGCAGCCGCCCUGAAGAACAUUAAGCAGCAGCCUAAAGGAGCCUCAAAAGAAACUUUGUAACCACUCGAAAAAGAGAACCAAAAGA